UCCUAUGCUGUGACACUGUAGAGGGCUGUGCUUUCUGUUGUUGGCAGGAAAAGGAGGCACAUGCUUUUAGGUGGUUACUGUUUGAGA
rnacentral:pre_miRNA from 1 species